rnacentral:rRNA from 1 species
UACGUAGGGGGCAAGCGUUGUCCGGAAUCAUUGGGCGUAAAGAGCGUGUAGGCGGCUCGGUAAGUCCGCUGUGAAAGUCCAGGGCUCAACCCUGGAAUGCCGGUGGAAACUGUCGAGCUAGAGUCCGGAAGAGGCGACUGGAAUUCCUGGUGUAGCGGUGGAAUGCGCAGAUAUCAGGAGGAACACCGGUGGCGAAGGCGGGUCUCUGGGCCGAUACUGACACUGAGAAGCGAAAGCGUGGGGAGCGAACAG